rnacentral:rRNA from 1 species
GACAGAGGGUGCAAACGUUGUUCGGAAUUACUGGGCGUAAAGCGCGUGUAGGCGGCUAAGUAAGUCGGGCGUGAAAUCCCACGGCUCAACCGUGGAAGUGCACUCGAAAACUGCAUAGCUAGAGUCCUGGAGAGGAAGGUGGAAUGCUUGGUGUAGAGGUGAAAUUCGUAGAUAUCAAGCGGAACACCGGUGGCGAAGGCG